rnacentral:rRNA from 1 species
GAAUUGACGGGGCCGCACAAGCGGUGGAGCAUGUGGUUUAAUUCGAAGCAACGCGAAGAACCUUACCAGGUCUUGACAUCCCUGACAACCCGAGAGAUCGGGCGUUCCCCUUCGGGGGACAGGGUGACAGGUGGUGCAUGGUUGUCGUCAGCUCGUGUCGUGAGAUGUUGGGUUAAGUCCCGCAACGAGCGCAACCCUCGACCUUAGUUGCCAGCAUUCAGUUGGGCACUCUAAGGUGACUGCCGGCUAAAAGUCGGAGGAAGGUGGGGAUGACGUCAAAUCAUCAUGCCCCUUAUGACCUGGGCUACACACGUGCUACAAUGGGCGGUACAAAGGGCUGCGAACCCGCGAGGGGGAGCGAAUCCCAAAAAGCCGCUCUCAGUUCGGAUUGCAGGCUGCAACUCGCCUGCAUGAAGCCGGAAUCGCUAGUAAUCGCAGGUCAGCAUACUCGCGGUCGAAUACGUUCCCGGGCCUU